UACGUAGGGUGCAAGCGUUGUCCGGAUUUAUUGGGCGUAAAGAGCUCGUAGGCGGUCUGUCGCGUCGGAUGUGAAAACCCAGGGCUCAACCCUGGGCCUGCAUUCGAUACGGGCAGACUAGAGUAUGGCAGGGGAGACUGGAAUUCCUGGUGUAGCGGUGAAAUGCGCAGAUAUCAGGAGGAACACCGGUGGCGAAGGCGGGUCUCUGGGCCAAAACUGACGCUGAGGAGCGAAAGCGUGGGAAGCGAACAGG
rnacentral:rRNA from 1 species